rnacentral:rRNA from 1 species
AUUGAACGCUGGCGGCGGGACUAACACAUGCAAGUCGAGCGGAGCGGCGGACGGGGGAGUAAUUCCUAGGAAUAUGCCUGGUAGUGGGGGCUAACGUCAGGAAACGGGCGCUACUACCGCCUAUUAGCAGAUGAGCCUGGGUCGGGUUAGCUCGUUGGUGGGGAAAAGGCCGACCAAGGCGACGAUCCGUAACUGGGUUGGGAGGAUGAUCAGUCACACUGGAACUGAGACACGGUCCAGACUCCUACGGGAGGAAGCAUUGGGGAAUAUUGGACAAUGGGCGAAAGCCUGAUCCAUCCAUGCCGCGUGUGUGAAGAAGGUCUUCGGAUUGUAAAGCACUUUAAGUUGGGAAGCGUUACCAACAGAAUAAGCACCGGCUAACUUCGUGCCAGCAGCCGCGGUAAUAC